rnacentral:sRNA from 10 species
GCUGGGCACGGUGGCUCAAGCCUGUGAUCCCAGCACUUCAGGAGGCAGGAAUAUUUGAAAGGACAACCAUCCCUCAUAGAUGAGGACCCAUCUUUGGUCAGGGGUAUUCAAGUAGGUGCACCCCCCAGCUAGAACCUCCAAACAAGCUCUCAAAUAUUGUCUGCCAUUCGCAGAUGUGGACGUGCCCUCAGGAAUCCAUCAUGUGUUGACAAAGUCAAAUGCU